rnacentral:RNase_P_RNA from 1 species
GAAGCUGACCAGACAGUCGCCGCUUCGUCGUCGUCCUCUUCGGGGGAGACGGGCGGAGGGGAGGAAAGUCCGGGCUCCAUAGGGCAGGGUGCCAGGUAACGCCUGGGGGGGAAACCCACGACCAGUGCAACAGAGAGCAAACCGCCGAUGGCCCGCGUAAGCGGGAUCAGGUAAGGGUGAAAGGGUGCGGUAAGAGCGCACCGCGCGGCUGGUAACAGUCCGUGGCACGGUAAACUGCUUGAGCCAGUGAGCGAUUGCUGGCCUAGAUGAAUGACUGUCCACGACAGAACCCGGCUUAUCGGUCAGUUUCACCU